rnacentral:tRNA from 1 species
UUGGGAUAUAGCCAAGUGGUAAGGCAGCAUGCUGUUAACAUGCCUAUUCGUAUGUUCGAAUCAUACUAUCCCAGUAAA